rnacentral:lncRNA from 11 species
GAAAAGAGAAUGCUGUUGCAAAUUGCAUGCAGGGUUAAUGCUUAGAGCAGGGAGUUUGUGUUAAAGAAAUGGAUAGGAAACUGAGAAAUGUAUUGGGAAGGCCACUUAUGGCCUGAAUAACUGGUGAGUUCAGUAACAUUGGUGACAGAGAUUUUGAUAGAUCUAAGAGAAUGAAAGCAAGGGCAGGCAGAGGAAACUGAAACAUUCUAUUUUAACAGCAGUAGCUUACGCUAAACAACAUGAUAUCAGUAGUAAAAUUUACACUGGCUUGAAUGAAGAUGACUCCUUUCUAAUGUUAUUCUCACUUUUAUUGAAAGGCAUGUCCAACAUGUGGAACCUCUGGUAGAUGUCAUUGCCAAAAAUGCAAAGGCACCCGUGAGCAACAAUGCCGGAUAUGUAAAGGAAAAGGAUACAAGAUCAAUGAUGACAGAUGCAACAGCUGUAUGGGAACUGGAACAAACAUGUGCAACGAUUGUUCCGGUAUGGGGAUCACAGAAUGCUCUGACUGUAAAGGAAAUGGACAAGUGCUGGUUUACAUUGAGUUGACAAUUGAAUGGAAGAAUAACAUCUAUAAGCAUGUAUCAGAUCCAAAAAUUGGAUUUCCAACUAAACUCUUUGAUGAAGUAAAUGGAAUGAAGUUGUUUGAAGAUGAGCAACUGAUGGUAACUCCAGUGUUGGGUUUUCCUGACCAUGCCAUCAUGCAAGCCUCCCGGAACGCAGUUGAAGGGCAUAGAAUUCAGUUUGGAUCCACAAGGCGGAUACUGAGACAGAGGCAAACUAUUGAGCUGAUACUUCUCUCCAAAGUGGAAUAUAAGUGGCAAAGAAAUUCAUAUUCCUACUAUGUUUAUGGGAAUGAACACAAGGUUUAUGCAAAAGAUUAUCCUGGAACAUGUUGGUGUACUAUCAUAUGAUUUCCAGGAUAUUCCAAGCACAAUGGAGCAAUCAUACUCCAUUAUUCUGUAUCAUUUCCUAUCUCUGUUUUGUAAACUUGGUUUUUUUGAAAUAAAUUCACUACCAUGAAUCAUAGCAAUGGUGAGAAAACACUAGAGAAACCUAGAUUUUGAAAUGACAUAGAAUAUUAUGCAGCUUGCUAAAAAAGAGGAAGAUACUUCACUAUGCCAUAGUGAAAAUGUGCUCUGGUAUGUUGUAUAAAUUUCUUAGCAGUUUGCUCUUUUUUAGCUUUGUUAAGCAAGCUUUAAUGUAUGAAACAUUAAGUACAGUUUAUAAUAAUAGUUUCUUUGGAGUGACAUUCAAGUUUAGGUUUUAUGUAAUGAUGUGCUUGGCUAGUACUAUCUUGGAAUUACAUGGAAUUACAUUAAUUCAGGAAUCAGCAGGUUAAAUGUUUUUGAAUAUUUACAUAAAACUAUAAUUUAAGAUAAGACUGUCCAACUCUGAUUAAAUCAUUAUUCUCACCUUCUUCAAUGUAAAUGUGCUUAUGUAUCCUUCCAAUAAUAAUAGAGUUAAAUAUUAGAUGUAAUAAUAAUAAUAGAGUAAAAUAAUAAAUGUAAUAGUAACUAUAAUAAUAGAGUAAAAUAAUAAAUCUAAUAAUAGAAUAAAAUAAUAAAUGUAAUAGUAACUAAUAAUAGAGUAAAAUAAUAAAUGUAAUAAUAACAAUAGGGAAAAAUAAUAAAUGUACCAUAUAUACUUGAGUAUAAGCCGACCCGAAUAUAAGCCGACCAGGACCCUCACUCAAGUAUAAGCCAAGGGGGGCUUUUUCAGCCCUAAAGAAGGGCUGAAAAACUCGGCUUAUGCUCAAGUAUAUACGGUAAUUAGGAUUAUUUAGUUUGAUAUGCAAUGUAGAACAAUAUAUUUUUUCUUUUAAAAUUUUUAUUGCACUACACUUUGGCUUGAAGGGUCAGCACUCUAUCGUGUUUUAGUUAGCAUCUUAGUAUUAUGAUUUAAUUUUAGCUAUAUGAGUUUUUUUCUUCUCUGCUUUUUAAAAAUGUAUGUUACUUUAAUUGUGAACUAGAUUUGUUUGUAUUCAAAAUUAAUAAAUAAAUAACUUUUUAAAAGAAGCAUGUGAUCUAUUGGCUUCAUUCAGUCUGAUGUUCUCCAUAUUAUACAUGUUUUGUUUUACUGUGUUUAGCUUCCCAUGAUUCAUGCUUCUCAUAUUCUGUGUUCCAGUCAUAUCUGAUGUGCAGCUUCAGACUUCCUUUUAACAACUGAGCGCAUCAGCAGCUGAAUGGCUUUAAAUCCAGUUGCAUCCUUAUCCACAGAACUACAGGCAGUCCCCAAAUUACAAACAAGAUAGGUUCUGUAGGUUUAUUCUUAAGAUGAAUUUGUAUGUAAGUUGGAACAGGUACAUUUUAAAGUGUAACUCCAUUGCAUAGCAUAGGAGUUAAUACCUCUGUGGUGUUUGUUUUGCUGUCUUUGCCCUUUUCAGAAGAUUUCACCUCACUCUCUGUCGGUAUAAUCAUUCGAUUUUGAAAAAUUUGGCUUGUUGUGGAAACAAGGAUUGGUGAGAAAACUUCAGUGGAGACACCUUUGCCCCAUGAUAACUCCUGGUGAUAGAUUUCUCUCACUUGCUGUUGUCUCACACCCAUUCUUAACUAUAAAUUAAAACAUCAUAUUAACAUUAAACAUAAACAAACAUUUGCAUAAUUAAAAUAGAAUUAAAACAUCUUAAUAUUAAUAUUAAAAUCACAUAAUCCAGAAUCAUAAUCCAAAGCCAUUCCAAUGGUCAGUUACACGCAUUUCCUAUGCAGUUCUUGCACUGCAUUAAUUUACUGCCCGUAGGUUUUGUCUGAUAGCCAUGUCUUUAUGUUCUUUCUGAAG